AUUGAACGCUGGCGGCAGGCCUAACACAUGCAAGUCGAGCGAGCGGCGGACGGGUGAGUAAUGUAUGGGGACUGCCCGAUAGAGGGGGAUAACUACUGGAAACGGUGACUAAUACCGCAUACUAUCGGAUAACCCAUAUGGGAUUAGCUAGUAGGUGGGGUAAAGGCACACCUGGGCGACGAUCUCUAGCUGGGCUGAGAGGAGGGUCAGCCACCCUGGGACGUAGACACGGCCCAGACUCCUACGGAGGCAGCAGGGGGGAAUAUUGCACAAUGGGCGCAAGCCUGACGCAGUCAUGCGGAGUGUAUGACGAAGGCCCUAGGGUUGUAAAGUACUUUCAGCGGGGAGGCGUUACCCGCAGAAGAAGCACCGGCUAACUCCGUGCCAGCCGCCGCGGUAAUAC
rnacentral:rRNA from 1 species